rnacentral:rRNA from 1 species
UACGAAGGGUGCAAACGUUGCUCGGAAUCAUUGGGCGUAAAGCGCACGUAGGCGGCUCCAAAAGUCGGAUGUGAAAUCCCUGGGCUCAACCGAGGAAGUGCAUCCGAAACUGCGGAGCUUGAGUAUGGAAGAGGGUCGCGGAAUUCCCGGUGUAGAGGUGAAAUUCGUAGAUAUCGGGAGGAACACCGGUGGCGAAGGCGGCGACCUGGGACGAUACUGACGCUGAGGUGCGAAAGCGUGGGGAGCAAACAGG